rnacentral:tRNA from 1 species
GGGGCUGUAGCUCAGUGGCUGAGCACUCGCCUCACAUGCGUGAGGCACUGGGUUCGAUGCUCAGCACCACA